UUAUAAUUUGAAUUUGGGAAAUAAAAUUCGAGCAAAUGGGCACUUUUUUAAAUUUGUUCAAUGUCUUAUUGAUGCAGAAUAUGAAAAAAGUCGCGAGUUUGCUUUACUCUUUCAAAAUGGUGGUAAUGGAAAUCAGACACAGAAGAAGAAAUUACGUGAUCGCUCAAAAAAAAUAAUGGACGCAAUGGAUCUUUUUGAAAGAGGUGAAAUAGAUAUACAGGGAUUUCUGACAUGCACUGUUUCCUUAGCUGACCGCUUUUCAAAGCAGGACUUCUUUGAAGGGGUGGACAAUGAAAGCAAUUUAACUGGAAUGUCUUCUGAUAUGAAAUCUUCCACAUCGUCACUUUCAUCGAAUGCUUCUCAUUCAAGUCAGUCAUCUGAUAAAUCAUUGGUUCAAAUGAAUCCAUGCAAUGUGUGCCUAUGUAACCCAAAGUCUGUGUUGUUGCGCCCGUGCAAUCACGUAAACAUUUGUGGUACAUGUUGGGAUCAAAUUGUGGCCCACAACCAAGCAAAAAAAGAGUUGGAAGAAAAUGAAAAUAUAAAGCCAAAAUGUCCAAGUUGCAACCGAGAAGUCGAAGAGGCCAUACGCAAUGUUUUUAUUUACAAUUAACUUGUGUAAGUUAAGAACGACAAAAUUUAAGAAAACUUCUAUUAUGAUUUCUGUGUAUUUGGACUAUUGCACAUUUUUUAAUUUCAAUAAAAUCAUGUUAUAAAAUGAAAUGCUGUCAAAAAAAUAUAAGUGUAUUUUACAUGCGAAA